rnacentral:rRNA from 1 species
CACGUAGGGUGCGAGCGUUGUCCGGAAUCACUGGGCGUAAAGGGCGCGUAGGCGGCUUGAUAAGGUUGCGGUGAAAGCCCGGGGCUCAACCCCGGGUCGGCCGUGGCAACUGUCGAGCUGGAGCACUGUAGAGGCAGGUGGAAUUCCGGGUGUAGCGGUGGAAUGCGUAGAGAUCCGGAAGAACACCGGUGGCGAAGGCGGCCUGCUGGGCAGUGGCUGACGCUGAGGCGCGACAGCGUGGGGAGCAAACAGG